GGGAAUUGUGUACAUGGGUCCAAAUUCCUCUUCUGUGAUUAAUCAGCUGAGAGAUGGUGGGUGAAUCUCUUCAUGUCUCUGUGCCAUAGUUUCCCAUAUUUAAGGAAGAUAACACCUUCCUCCAACCCUGGACAUCCGCCUGGCCUUCCAGAAAGGGUCACUGACUAGCCAAAAAUAUCUUCUUUCUUGGGGAUGGAAAUGCAGGAGUCUCUGAGGGAUAUGGAGUGUGUCAGGGAGGCAGCAGCCCAUUUCUGGGUAUGCUCCCCUCUCCGGGCUGCCUGGGCUGGUGGGAAGCCGUGGGUAGGCAGAAGCAGCCCCAAGACACUCUGUGCCUCCAGGAGCUGCUGUGGCUUUCUUUGAGGAGAGAGCCCGCCAGCUGGGCCUGGGCUGUCAGAAAGUGGAGGUGAGCCGGGGGCCCUAAGCGGGGAAGGGAGGUGGGCCUGGGCACCUCCUCACCCUGCUCAGACCACCUACCCUCAUGACCAUCUCCAGGUGGCACCUGGCUAUGUGGUGACCGUGUUGACCUGGCCAGGCACCAACCCUACACUCUCCUCCAUCUUGCUCAACUCCCACACGGAUGUGGUGCCUGUCUUCAAGGAACAUUGGAGUCACGACCCCUUUGAGGCCUUCAAGGAUUCUGAGGGCUACAUCUAUGCCAGGGGUGCCCAGGACAUGAAGUGCAUCAGCAUCCAGUGAGUGUCCUCCAUUCCUACUCCUCUACAAUGUCCCCACUGGUCCAAUGGAUUGACCCAGGACCUGAGGGGGUGAUUGGAGAAACUCAAGGCCAAGGAACACCUUGACUUCUUGGACAGGAAUUACUGCCAUGACCAUUGCAUGGAUAGGGAGAUUCAGACCAGAGAGGAGCAGGGACUUUCUGGAGUCCCUAUCAGGGUGUGGCAGGGUACAGUCCAGGGCACAGGACUCCAGCCUGUUGGCCCUGCCUGCGGGGCCAGCCUGAGCAUCUGGUGGCUCCCCCAGCACCUGGCUUAUGCCCCCUCAGGUACCUGGAAGCUGUGAGGAGGCUGAAGGUGGAGGGCCACCGGUUCCCCAGAACCAUCCACAUGACCUUUGUACCUGAUGAGGAGGUUGGUGGUCACCAAGGCAUGGAGCUGUUCGUGCAGCGGCCUGAGUUCCAUGCCCUGAGGGCAGGCUUUGCCCUGGAUGAGGGUGAGCAGGUUGGCAAGCCAAUGAGCAGCCAGGCAGGGAGGGAGUAGGAGGCUGCUAGUGGGGACUGAGCUGCUCCACCCUCUGAACCCCCUUUCCCUCCUCAGGCAUAGCCAAUCCCACUGAUGCCUUCACUGUCUUUUAUAGUGAGCGGAGUCCCUGGUGUAAGUAUGAGCUUGGAGGGAGGGCUCACUCUACAGGUGGGAGGCUAGGCCAGAAAGGGCACAGUCCUAUGAAGGGUUGCACAGCAAAGUUGAGGCCUGAGAAGGCCUUGAACCCAGGGCCUCUGCCUCCCAGCUCUUUCCUAUCUGAGCUUCUCUGAGGGCAAGCCCUGACUGGGCAGAAACCAGCUCUAUGCUACGGGCCCUAAGUGGGGACAGGACCCUGCCAGAGGAGCCUGGAAUGAGGGGGAGACCUGGGCCCACCCCAGGGCUGAUUGUGUCUCCAGCCCCUCAUGCUGAAGACACUCCCUUCCCCCUACACCUCCCCAGGGGUGCGGGUCACCAGCACUGGGAGGCCAGGCCAUGCCUCACGCUUCAUGGAGGACACAGCAGCAGAGAAGCUGGUACGUGGC
rnacentral:sRNA from 1 species